AGGAGAGGGAGGACUCAUAUUGGGAGACCAUUGAAGACGUGGCCAAUAAACUGUUCCUUAUACGUUGUCUACCUGAAGGACUCCUCUCAUUAGAAGUAACUCUACCUGGUUUUUCAUCACCAACAAUCAUUAUGCCACCCAGAGGAGACCUUCAUCUUGAUGUCAGAUUAAACUAUCCAUUCUUAUGUCUUUUUGUUGAUAAUGUUCUCGAGGUUAUUUUU